AACGAACGCUGGCGGCAGGCCUAACACAUGCAAGUCGAACGCUGUAGCAAUACAGAGUGGCGCACGGGUGCGUAACGCGUGGGAAUAUGCCCUUGACUACGGAACAACAUCGGGAAACUGAUGCUAAUACCGUAUAAUGUCUUCGGACCAAAGAUUUAUCGGUCAAGGAUUAGCCCGCGUCUGAUUAGCUAGCUGGUGAGGUAACGGCUCACCAAGGCGACGAUCAGUAGCUGGUCUGAGAGGAUGAUCAGCCACACUGGGACUGAGACACGGCCCAGACUCCUACGGGAGGCAGCAGUGAGGAAUAUUGGACAAUGGGCGCAAGCCUGAUCCAGCCAUGCCGCGUGAGUGACGAAGGCCUUCGGGUUGUAAAGCUCUUUCAGAUGCGAAGAUAAUGACGGUAACAUCAGAAGAAGCCCGGCUAAAUUCGUGCCAGCAGCCGCGGUAAU
rnacentral:rRNA from 1 species